rnacentral:lncRNA from 1 species
CGUGAUCCACAACAUGGGCCAACCUCCAGCAGAAAACAGAUCCCAGUAACAGAGACAUCAGCUGAGCCUGCUUCCUUGUUGGCCAGAAACUUCCCUAGUUUUAGCUGGGAGAGUCCCCACAUCCUGGAAAAGCCUUCCAUCCUAGACAGGAUCUACUGAGAACGGAGUGGUGUUCAGGCGGAGAGGAACCACGACCGGAGAGUGCAGUACAGAAAGCCAUCAAAGAUACCAUGAGAGAAGCCAGUUAGUUGAAAGACUGGAAACCGCUCACACAGGGGACAUGUGGGACACAGAGAAAGCCUGGAAAAAAGCACGUCUAUCCAAAUGUGUCACAAGGCUGAGAUGGUGUGAAUGGCCUGUGAAGGGUCACGAGGUCCCAGUCCUUAGCUGCUCUCCAGCCCAUUUCCAUCCUUGGGAGUACCUUUGCUUUCUAAAUGAGCAGCUUCUGUUUCUGUCCCUAUCCAUGUGUCCCUAGUCCCAUUCGUUGUCUCUGCAUAUAAUAAGCACCUUAAAAUCUCUGAGGUGCCCUCUGAACUCAGAGCCAUGCAUGUAAACCUCCCAUGGCCUCUGAUUGCCCCUGGCUGGGAAGUUUGCUUUGGUGGCUCAGCUGGGCCACUGCCCUUUCUGGAUUGUGGGUACCCUCAUCCACACCAAAUUCCCUUCUGGUCACCAGAGGUCCCUGAGGUAAUAUUAUGUACUCCACUAAGAGCCAAAGCGAGCCUACCUGACCGCAUGACCCCACCUGACUUCUGCAGGCCACAGAGGCCAAGCCAGGUAAAUACCCCCCACUCCUGGCUCUGCUGUUCAGCUUCGUGCCCACUGGACAUAUGCCAGUCAUGACCUCGAGGGCAGGGGCCCCAGGACCUCGCCUACCUCAUAGGGAUCCUAACUCUUUCUUUCUCUGUUUCCUGCAUGGCACAAGGCCACAGGGCAGCUACCAGGACAGGCCACGAGUCUGGGACCUAAAAAGUCACUUUCGAGGCA